CAAGCAUUUAUUUUAUGACAUUCAGCUACAAAAGUCUUAAUAUUUGAUAGGAUAUGUGUGAAAGGAAACAGGAUAGGAAGCAUUAUCAUCAAGCAAAGCCAUGUUAAUAGCUGGUUUCUGUGAUGAGCUCUGCCAGCAGGAUAAAAAAACCCAAAUCAGCUUGCAGUCAGGUGAAACAGGUGUGUUUUUCCGUCUAUCUAAAUCAAAAUGACAAGCAGUAAUGGGAGCAGCAGUGUGUACAUCUCAGUGUGAUGAUUAAUACCAAACUCCAGGGUAAAUCCCCUGAGGCAAAUCACCCAGCGAAACAUCCAGAUCAUUGAAGUGGCGGCGACGGUAGGUCCCUGAGUCAGAGUCGCCAUCUAGUGAAAAGAGGCCAGAACUGCAGAUCGCUCAGGACAGAUGCUCGCCAGGAUCCUGUAAGAUCCAGUAGGACAUAUCAGGGAUCAGUUUAGCUUGUUGUUCAUAUUAAAUGUAAUUAAAAAAAGAAAGUGGUGAGUGAUUUUUUUUAUCAGUAUUUCCAUUCUGGGGGACCUUUUUUAAAAAGUCCUGCAUUUUGUUGCAUAUAACUAAAUGGUUGUAUAACUGAUCUUUUUCUCACUCCUGUCUUAUAGUUGUGCGACCGCAGUACUGCAAUAAUUUAUCACAACAUCCCAUAGCUGCAUCAGCACCAAAGUUCUGCUGAGACACGUCUCCAAGUCAGCAAUGGAACAGAAGGCGAAUGAGUGUCCCUCCACCACCUCUCCUCAGAAGCACAUGAAGAACAGGUCCAAAUCCACAGAGGAGAUGCAACAGACCAAGAAGGCCUUUUCCUCACAAAAAUCACUCCCAGGCAGACCAGAGCUGGACAAAGUGAAGGAGUGUCCUGACGGAUCUGAUAUGCCCACAUCCUCCACUGAGGAGCUGAAGUGAUAAAUGGAAGGACCAACAGAACAUCAGAGUUGUCAUCAAGUUACAAGCUCAUCGUAAACACAACAUGCUGAAAAAUGUACAUAUGUACACAGGGAAACAUACAAACUAUUGAGGAUAACUAGAUUAUAAAACAUGCAAAAAAAAAAAAGAAUUAAUCAUUGGUUGAAGGGAACUG